rnacentral:rRNA from 1 species
AUUGAACGCUGGCGGCAGGCCUAACACAUGCAAGUCGAGCGAGCGGCGGACGGGUGAGUAAUGUCUGGGAAACUGCCUGAUGGAGGGGGAUAACUACUGGAAACGGUAGCUAAUACCGCAUACCAUCAGAUGUGCCCAGAUGGGAUUAGCUGGUAGGUGGGGUAAUGGCCCACCUAGGCGACGAUCCCUAGCUGGUCUGAGAGGACGACCAGCAACACGUGAACUGAGAGACGGUCCAGACUCCUACGGAAGGCACCAGUGGGGAAUAUUGCACCAUUGGCGCAAGCCUGAUUCGGCCAUGCCGCGUGUAUGAAGGAGGCCUUCGGGGUGUAAAGUACUUUCAGCGAGGAGGCGGUACUCGCAGAAGAAGCCCCGGCUAACUCCGUGCCAGCAGCCGCGGUAAUAC